AAUUGCAACCUCCUCUCGAUGUACGCGCUGCGUAACUUUUCUAGACCUAACAACACUGUUAAGUCUCCUUCUCUCCCUAGAACUCUCCGUCCAUUUCAAACCCUAGAAUUCUAUCUCUUUGUUUCGUCCAAAUCGCUCAAUGGGAUUUCGAAAAAGAACUUCGAUCUGGUUCCUUCCAACUCCCCACGUGCAAAAUUUCAACCCUGAUCUACAGAGAGAUAAAGAGACGGAUGAGAGAGAGGACGUCGACGUCGUAUUGUGCUUGAAGUUCUACCUUCAGUUCGUCAAUUGUGGCCAGUUCAAAGCUGCAGCAGCAUCUUCACAAGGACAGAGGGUGUAGGCCAUCCCCAUUUUCACAAGGUCUUGGAACUGUAGGCCUUGCUGUUGCAGAGGGUGCUAAAACUGCAGGUGCUUCACGGAUCAUUGGUGUAAAUCUCAUUCAUACUUCAUUCCUCUAAAUCUGAGUUCACGCAUCAAGGAUACCUCAAAAUCUUUCGAUUUUGCGUCAAGUAUUCAACCAGGAGAGAGAUGAAGAGAGGGAGGACGCUAUACUUCUUUGCGCUCUGCUAGCUUCAAUCUCCGUCUUUGACUUCACGGUAUAAUAUCAAAGAUACUGCUCCAUGAUUUGACGAGCACGACACUUGAAGUUAUCACUGUUUUGCUGCUCAAGUUCUGGAAAUCAUCUGUUGAUGCGGAGACCGUCACAAUUCUCUAAUAAUAAUAACCAAGCUACUGCUACUGCUACUGCUAGCGCUGCAACUUAUGGGUAUCAGGGUCAAGUAGAUCCAUCAGCUUACGAUGCAGCGGCUGGACAACAAGCUUAUAGUGCUGCACCUGCUGGGACACAACAAGGCUAUGCUCAGCCAGCUCCAACACAACCUGGUUAUGACCAGUCGGCAGUGGCUCCUCAAUCUGGUGGAUAUGCUACUGCUCCUACUGGUGCACCUGGUGCUUAUGGAAAAACCUUAUCUCCCCAGCCUCAACCUGGUUAUCCACCGUAUGAUGCAUCCCAGCAAGCGUACGCUGCACCUCGAUAAUUUGAUUCAGAUAACAACAUACUUUUUACUGUCAUCCGCUUCUCGGCGAUUCCUAUUACAAACAGAAUGCGGGAGGGAGCAGACAACAUUUUCACAGAUUCAUCAGCAACAGCCAUAAGCAUGUCUCUCCUGGCUUUCAUUUCAUUGGUUGCCAUUUUUUUAUUGUUCAUCUGAUUGUUUUAAUUAGGAUAGGAAUGUUGAUGUAAUAUGUAGAUUGAUUGAAUAUCAAUUGUUGGUUUGGCUUAGAAUGUGAUGGUGGCUUGGUGUUUAUUGCUAUAAUCAGGUGGUGGGUGUAUUGCAUUUGGUUGUUUCACUAGGGAUUAUUUUGGCAAUGGAUUGUUCAUCUGA